rnacentral:rRNA from 1 species
GGUUAAGCGACUAAGCGUACACGGUGGAUGCCCUGGCAGUCAGAGGCGAUGAAGGACGUGCUAAUCUGCGAAAAGCGUCGGUAAGGUGAUAUGAACCGUUACAGCCGGCGAUGUCCGAAUGGGGAAACCCAGUGCAAUUCGUUGCACUAUCGUUAACUGAAUACAUAGGUUAACGAGGCGAACCGGGGGAACUGAAACAUCUAAGUACCCCGAGGAAAAGAAAUCAACCGAGAUUCCCCCAGUAGCGGCGAGCGAACGGGGAGCAGCCCGGAGUCUGAAUCAGCUUGUGUGUUAGUGGAAGCGUCUGGAAAGUCGCAGGGUACAGGGUGAUACUCCCGUACACUAAAACACACAGGCUGUGAACUCGAAGAGUAGGGCGGGACACGUGGUAUCCUGUCUGAAUAUGGGGGGACCAUCCUCCAAGGCUAAAUACUCCUGACUGACCGAUAGUGAACCAGUACCGUGAGGGAAAGGCGAAAAGAACCCCGGCGAGGGGAGUGAAAAAGAACCUGAAACCGUGUACGUACAAGCAGUAGGAGCCCACUAGUUGGGUGACUGCGUACCUUUUGUAUAAUGGGUCAGCGACUUAUAUUCUGUAGCAAGGUUAACCGUAUAGGGGAGCCGCAGGGAAACCGAGUCUUAACUGGGCGUUAAGUUGCAGGGUAUAGACCCGAAACCCGGUGAUCUAGCCAUGGGCAGGUUGAAGGUUGGGUAACACUAACUGGAGGACCGAACCGACUAAUGUUGAAAAAUUAGCGGAUGACUUGUGGCUGGGGGUGAAAGGCCAAUCAAACCGGGAGAUAGCUGGUUCUCCCCGAAAGCUAUUUAGGUAGCGCCUCGUGAACUCAUCUUCGGGGGUAGAGCACUGUUUCGGCUAGGGGGUCAUCCCGACUUACCAACCCGAUGCAAACUACGAAUACCGAAGAAUGUUAUCACGGGAGACACACGGCGGGUGCUAACGUCCGUCGUGAAGAGGGAAACAACCCAGACCGCCAGCUAAGGUCCCAAAGUCAUGGUUAAGUGGGAAACGAUGUGGGAAGGCCCAGACAGCCAGGAUGUUGGCUUAGAAGCAGCCAUCAUUUAAAGAAAGCGUAAUAGCUCACUGGUCGAGUCGGCCUGCGCGGAAGAUGUAACGGGGCUAAACCAUGCACCGAAGCUGCGGCAGCGACGCUUAUGCGUUGUUGGGUAGGGGAGCGUUCUGUAAGCCGUUGAAGGUGGCCUGUGAGGGUUGCUGGAGGUAUCAGAAGUGCGAAUGCUGACAUAAGUAACGAUAAUGCGGGUGAAAAACCCGCACGCCGGAAGACCAAGGGUUCCUGUCCAACGUUAAUCGGGGCAGGGUGAGUCGACCCCUAAGGCGAGGCCGAAAGGCGUAGUCGAUGGGAAACAGGUUAAUAUUCCUGUACUUGGUGUUACUGCGAAGGGGGGACGGAGAAGGCUAUGUUGGCCGGGCGACGGUUGUCCCGGUUUAAGCAUGUAGGCGGAUGUUCCAGGUAAAUCCGGAACGUUACUAACGCUGAGGUGUGAUGACGAGGCACUACGGUGCUGAAGUGACAAAUGCCCUGCUUCCAGGAAAAGCCUCUAAGCAUCAGGUAACAUCAAAUCGUACCCCAAACCGACACAGGUGGUCAGGUAGAGAAUACCAAGGCGCUUGAGAGAACUCGGGUGAAGGAACUAGGCAAAAUGGUGCCGUAACUUCGGGAGAAGGCACGCUGAUGGUAAGUGAAGCGACUUGCUCGUGGAGCUGAAAUCAGUCGAAGAUACCAGCUGGCUGCAACUGUUUAUUAAAAACACAGCACUGUGCAAACACGAAAGUGGACGUAUACGGUGUGACGCCUGCCCGGUGCCGGAAGGUUAAUUGAUGGGGUUAUCCUCACGGAGAAGCUCUUGAUCGAAGCCCCGGUAAACGGCGGCCGUAACUAUAACGGUCCUAAGGUAGCGAAAUUCCUUGUCGGGUAAGUUCCGACCUGCACGAAUGGCGUAAUGAUGGCCAGGCUGUCUCCACCCGAGACUCAGUGAAAUUGAACUCGCUGUGAAGAUGCAGUGUACCCGCGGCAAGACGGAAAGACCCCGUGAACCUUUACUAUAGCUUGACACUGAACACUGGUCCUUGAUGUGUAGGAUAGGUGGGAGGCUUUGAAGUGUGGACGCCAGUCUGCAUGGAGCCAUCCUUGAAAUACCACCCUUUAAUGGCUGGUGUUCUAACGUGGGCCCCUGAUCGGGGUUGCGGACAGUGUCUGGUGGGUAGUUUGACUGGGGCGGUCUCCUCCUAAAGAGUAACGGAGGAGCACGAAGGUCAGCUAAUCCUGGUCGGACAUCAGGAGGUUAGUGCAAUGGCAUAAGCUGGCUUGACUGCGAGCGUGACGGCGCGAGCAGGUGCGAAAGCAGGUCAUAGUGAUCCGGUGGUUCUGAAUGGAAGGGCCAUCGCUCAACGGAUAAAAGGUACUCCGGGGAUAACAGGCUGAUACCGCCCAAGAGUUCAUAUCGACGGCGGUGUUUGGCACCUCGAUGUCGGCUCAUCACAUCCUGGGGCUGAAGUAGGUCCCAAGGGUAUGGCUGUUCGCCAUUUAAAGUGGUACGCGAGCUGGGUUUAGAACGUCGUGAGACAGUUCGGUCCCUAUCUGCCGUGGGCGCUGGAGAAUUGAGGGGGGCUGCUCCUAGUACGAGAGGACCGGAGUGGACGCAUCACUGGUGUUCGGGUUGUCAUGCCAAUGGCAUUGCCCGGUAGCUAAAUGCGGAAGAGAUAAGUGCUGAAAGCAUCUAAGCACGAAACUUGCCCCGAGAUGAGUUCUCCCUGACUCCUUGAGAGUCCUGAAGGAACGUUGAAGACGACGACGUUGAUAGGCCGGGUGUGUAAGCGCAGCGAUGCGUUGAGCUAACCGGUACUAAUGAACCGUGAGGCUUAACCUU